CAAGUGCUCCCUCCAUUCCAUAAUUCUUGUCGAAAUAUUACAUGUAUUUAGACGUUUUUUAGCAAUAGAUAUAUACAUUUUUGGGCAAAUUUGAGACAAGAAUUAUGAAAUGGAGGGAGUAGUUG
rnacentral:pre_miRNA from 1 species